rnacentral:tRNA from 1 species
UCCCUGAAGGUCCAGUGGUUAGGAUUCAGCGCUUUCACUGCCAUAGCCCAGGUUCAAUCCCUGGUUGGGGAA